rnacentral:rRNA from 1 species
AUUGAACGCUGGCGGCGUGCUUAACACAUGCAAGUCGUGCGGUAACAGGCGUAGCAAUACGUGCUGACGAGCGGCGAACGGGUGCGUAAUACAUGGGAAUCUGCCCUUUAGUGGGGAAUAACCCGGCGAAAGCCGGGCUAAUGCCGCAUAAGAUCUUCGGAUGAAAGCGGGGGAGUCGUAAGACCUCGCGCUGAUGGAUGAGCCCACUGUCGGAUUAGCAGUUGGUGAGGUAACGGCUCACCAAGGCGACGAUCCGUAGCUGGUCUGAGAGGACGGCCAGCCACACUGGGACUGAGACACGGCCCAGACUCCUACGGGAGGCAGCAGUGGGGAAGUAUUGGACAAUGGGCGAAAGCCUGAUCCAGCGACGCCGCGUGUGUGAAGAAGGCCUGCGGGUUGUAAAGCACCUUCGAUA